rnacentral:pre_miRNA from 1 species
GAGUUACAGACUGGGAAAUCUCUGCAGGCAUAUGUGGUGUUGCUACAGUUAUCACACAAUUACCUGUAGAGAUUCUGCAAUCUGACAUC